UGGGGAAUAUUGCACAAUGGGCGCAAGCCUGAUGCAGCCAUGCCGCGUGUGUGAAGAAGGCCUUCGGGUUGUAAAGCACUUUCAGCGGGGAGGAAGGCGUUAAGGUUAAUAACCUUGGCGAUUGACGUUACCCGCAGAAGAAGCACCGGCUAACUCCGUGCCAGCAGCCGCGGUAAUACGUAGGUGGCAAGCGUUGUCCGGAUUUAUUGGGCGUAAAGCGAGCGCAGGCGGUUUCUUAAGUCUGAUGUGAAAGCCCCCGGCUCAACCGGGGAGGGUCAUUGGAAACUGGGAGACUUGAGUGCAGAAGAGGAGAGUGGAAUUCCAUGUGUAGCGGUGAAAUGCGUAGAUAUAUGGAGGAACACCAGUGGCGAAGGCGGCUCUCUGGUCUGUAACUGACGCUGAGGCUCGAAAGCGUGGGGAGCAAACAGG
rnacentral:rRNA from 1 species